rnacentral:rRNA from 1 species
AGAGUUUGAUCCUGGCUCAGGACGAACGCUGGCGGCGUGCCUAAUACAUGCAAGUCGAGCGAGUCUCUUCGGAGGCUAGCGGCGGACGGGUGAGUAACACGUAGGCAACCUGCCUCUCAGACUGGGAUAACAUAGGGAAACUUAUGCUAAUACCGGAUAGGUUUUUGGAUCGCAUGAUCCGAAAAGAAAAGGCGGCUUCGGCUGUCACUGGGAGAUGGGCCUGCGGCGCAUUAGCUAGUUGGUGGGGUAACGGCCUACCAAGGCGACGAUGCGUAGCCGACCUGAGAGGGUGACCGGCCACACUGGGACUGAGACACGGCCCAGACUCCUACGGGAGGCAGCAGUAGGGAAUUUUCCACAAUGGACGAAAGUCUGAUGGA